rnacentral:rRNA from 1 species
UACAGAGGUCUCAAGCGUUGUUCGGAUUCAUUGGGCGUAAAGCGUGUGUAGGCGGCCAAGCAAGUCGGAUGUGAAAGCCCUGGGCUCAACCCAGGAAGUGCACUCGAUACUGCCUGGCUCGAGUAUCGGAGAGGUUGGUGGAAUUCUCGGUGUAGAGGUGAAAUUCGUAGAUAUCGAGAGGAACACCGGUGGCGAAGGCGGCCAACUGGACGAAUACUGACGCUGAGACACGAAAGCGUGGGGAGCAAACAGG